GUCCUCGUAGCCCAAUUGUCUAGGGCGUUGGCCUUUCCCUUGCUGGCGUGGGUUUGAAUUCCACCGAGGACG
rnacentral:tRNA from 1 species